UAGGGAAUUGUUCGCAAUGGGCGCAAGCCUGACGACGCAACGCCGCGUGGAGGAUGAAGGUCUUCGGAUUGUAAACUCCUGUCGUGUGGGACAAACAUCCACCGGGCUAAUCACCGGAGGACUGACGGUACCACGAAAGGAAGCCCCGGCUAACUCUGUGCCAGCAGCCGCGGUAAUACAGAGGGGGCGAGCGUUGUUCGGAAUUACUGGGCGUAAAGGGCGCGUAGGCGGCUUGCUAAGUCGGACGUGAAAUCCCCUGGCUCAACCAGGGAACUGCGUCCGAUACUGGCGAGCUUGAAUCCGGGAGAGGGAUGCGGAAUUCCAGGUAUAGCGGUGAAAUGCGUAGAUAUCUGGAGGAACACCGGUGGCGAAGGCGGCAUCCUGGACCGGCAUUGACGCUGAGGCGCGAAAGCCAGGGGAGCAAAC
rnacentral:rRNA from 1 species